rnacentral:rRNA from 1 species
ACACGACUACAUUAGAUACCCCCGUAGUCCUAGCCGUAAACGAUACUCGCUAGGUGUCGGCCACGGUGCGACCGUUGUCGGUGCCGUAGGGAAGCCGUGAAGCGAGCCACCUGGGAAGUACGGCCGCAAGGCUGAAACUUAAAGGAAUUGGCGGGGGAGCACCACAACGGGUGGAGCUUGCGGUUUAAUUGGAUUCAACGCCGGAAAUCUUACCGGGACCGACAGCAACAUGAAGGCCAGGCUGAAGACUUUGCCGGAUUAGCUG